GAUGAACGCUGGCGGCGUGCCUAAUACAUGCAAGUCGAGCGAACGGACGAGAAGCUUGCUUCUCUGAUGUUAGCGGCGGACGGGUAAGUAACACGUGGAUAACCUACCUAUAAGACUGGGAUAACUUCGGGAAACCGGAGCUAAUACCGGAUGAUAUUUUGAACCGCAUGGUUCAAAAGUGAAAGACGGUCUUGCUGUCACUUAUAGAUGGAUCCGCGCUGCAUUAGCUAGUUGGUAAGGUAACGGCUUACCAAGGCAACGAUGCAUAGCCGACCUGAGAGGGUGAUCGGCCACACUGGAACUGAGACACGGUCCAGACUCCUACGGGAGGCAGCAGUAGGGAAUCUUCCGCAAAGGGCGAAAGCCUGACGGAGCAACGCCGCGUGAGUGAUGAAGGUUUUCGGAUCGUAAAACUCUGUUAUUAGGGAAGAACAUAUGUGUAAGUAACUGUGCACAUCUUGACGGUACCUAAUCAGAAAGCCACGGCUAACUACGUG
rnacentral:rRNA from 1 species